rnacentral:lncRNA from 1 species
GCAUUAUUCAAAAACCCUAAUUAUCAUCUUCUUCAAUUCUCUGGCGAUUUCAUACUUCUUCAGUUGUCUCAAACACAAAAACUCUAAUCAAGGUAUCUUUAUCAUCUUCAACUUGCUUUCAGAUCUUGAAGUUUUAUUCACGAUUAAUUUCCUUUUCAUUUUUCAAGUUUUCAUCUUCUUUCCUAUUUGAAGUUUUCCUUUUCCCUUUCCAAAACCCUAAGUUCAACCAUGGCCGCACACCUCUUUCAGUUUUAAAUAUCCUCAAAGUUCAUCGCUAUCGAUCUCCUUCUUCAGUUUUAUCAUCAAUCAAAGUUCAUCGCUGUUGAUCUCCUUCUUCACAUGAAUCUUCAGUUUUAUCAUCAAUUUCUGUAAAUGAUUUUCGAACGAAUAGGAUUAUAAAACGUGGUUAUUAUCAUCAUCAUCAUCCUUUGAUUUUGUAAGAUUUGUAUUCAACCUUCCUUUGUUUAAAAUGCCGAUCGAAGAAUAAGGAUUGGAAAAGCAUAGACGUCUUCCAUCCCAAACCAACCAUAUCAAAAAUCGCCCAGUUACGGAGAAGGUAGUAGUGGUCGGAAAGUACUUGAUAUUGAUCUGAAUGAGGUUCGGGUCGGUACGAUGGAAGAAGAUGAAGGUGGGAAUGGGAAUGGGUAUGCUUCUUCAUCAUAUAACUCAAAUAUAGGCGAGGUUAAAGGUACCCAAUAUGUUUAUGUUUAUGUUUAACGCAUUUGUGAAAAAAAGUAGAUUGAUAUGCAUAUGUACUAGGAAUAUACUGGAGUUCAAACUGGGAAUUUGUCAAGUCUAAUAAAAGAUAAAUCAAUCACCAGCUGAGUUUUUUGUACCUUUGAUUGCAAUUUUGUGACAGGUUGGUGACCAAGAUGAAAAGCUGGCAGAAGGUAUCAAGCUUUAUGCUAUACCAACCACUUCAACUAGAAAGCGUGAGAUAUAAAGAGUUGCGAGGACUGGACAAUUCGGUUUUCCACGUAUCGAUUUUACCAUUCGGUUUUCCAGUCCCAUAAACGGCAUUAUAGAUAAGAAUGCAAAGAUUGGAAAUGAUGUGGUGAUAAUGAAUAAAGAUGUGGAAAGUGGUCAUGUAGCAGCACGUUAUAAUCAUCGUUUUCAUCCGUGUGAAGAAAAUUCAUAGUUGAGGAGUGGCAUACGCCAUUAAAUCACGUACAUGGAGCAAAGGCUUGGUUUUCAGUUUCUGAUUGGUCAAGACCCCAUUUAGCUCUGUAUUGAACCUGUAGAUUCGACUCAGGAAUGGAGGCAGUGGGAGUUGUAACAGUUGUCAGCCGGGGAGUAACCACAAAGCGAGUUUAAGUUAUUGAUUGUUUCUCGAAGCGGGUCAACUGAUGCAAAAUGGUGUUUUGUUUACUAUAGGUGAUGGGUUGAGGCCCGAAUUAAUUAAUGAUGCGGGUCAACUGGUGCAGAGUUAUUGACUGAAGGUGUAUUAAACUGUAGACCUGAGAGAAAGAUGUACAAGUAUGCUUCUAUUAUUUGUUUUUAUUUCUAUUUUUUAAUUUGU